rnacentral:rRNA from 1 species
ACGAACCGUACGAACGUUAUUCGGAAUCACUGGGCUUAAAGAGUGCGUAGGCGGCUUGGCAGGUUGGGUGUGAAAUCCCUCGGCUCAACCGAGGAAUUGCGCCCAAAACCGCUAGGCUUGAGGGAGACAGAGGUGAGCGGAACUAAUGGUGGAGCGGUGAAAUGCGUUGAUAUCAUUAGGAACACCGGUGGCGAAGGCGGCUCACUGGGUCUCUUCUGACGCUGAGGCACGAAAGCUAGGGGAGCGAACGGG